ACCUGGCUGGCUCAGUUGGCAGAGCACGAGACUCUUGACCUUGGGGGUGUGAGUUUGAGCCCCACGCUGGGUG
rnacentral:tRNA from 1 species